rnacentral:tRNA from 1 species
GGGGAUGUAGCUCAGUUGGUAGAGUGCUUGCCUACCAUGUGCAAAGCCCUGAGUUCGAUCCCCAGCACUAUA